rnacentral:rRNA from 1 species
AACAAACGCUGGCGGCGUGCCUAAUACAUGCAAGUCGAACGGGGAAAGUAGCAAUACGAGUACUAGUGGCGCACGGGUGAGGAAUACAUGGGUAAUCUGCCCUCGAGCUCGGGAUAACCAGUCGAAAGACUGGCUAAUACCGGAUAUGACCACAAGAUCUGAGGAUCAAGGGGUAAAAGGUUUUUCGCUUGAGGAUGAGCCCAUGUGGGAUUAGCUAGUUGGUGUAGGUAACGGCUCACCAAGGCGACGAUCCCUAACUGGUCUUAGAGGAUGAUCAGUCACACUAGAACUGAGACACGGUCCAGACUCCUACGGGAGGCAGCAGUAGGGAAUAUUGCACAAUGGAGGAAACUCUGAUGCAGCGACGCCGCGUGAGUGAUGAAGGCCUUCGGGUCGUAAAGCUCUGUCGUAUGGGACUAACAAAAUGAAGGUACCAUGCAAGAAAGGAAUCGGCUAACUUCGUGCCAGCAGCCGCGGUAAU